GCCGGGCAUGGUGGCACAUGCCUGUAAUCCCAGCCACUUGGGAGGCUGAGGCAGGAGGAUUGCUUGAGCCCAGGAGUUAGAGGUUGCUGUGAGCUAGGCUGACACCAUAGCACUCACUCUAGCCUGGGCAACAAAGUGAGACUUUGUCUCAAAAAAAAUUUUUUUUUAGAGGCAGGAUCUCUCUCUGUAGUCCAGGCUGGAGUGCAGUGGUGUGAUCGUAGCUCACUGCAGCCUUGAACUCCUGGGCUUGGGUGAUUCUCCCACCUCA
rnacentral:sRNA from 1 species